rnacentral:rRNA from 1 species
AUUGAACGCUGGCGGCAGGCCUUACACAUGCAAGUCGAACGAGUGGCGGACGGGUGAGUAAUGUCUGGGAAACUGCCCGAUGGAGGGGGAUAACUAAUGGAAACGGUAGCUAAUACCGCCCACCCUCAGCUGUGUCCAGAUGGGAUUAGCUAGUUGGUGGGGUAACGGCUCACCAAGGCGCCGAUCCCUAGCUGGUCUGAGAGGAUGACCAGCCACACUGGAACUGAGACACGGUCCAAACUCCUACGGGAGGCAGCAGUGGGGAAUAUUGCACAAUGGGCGCAAGCCUGAUGCAGCCAUGCCGCGUGUAUGAAGAAGGCCUUCGGGUUGUAAAGUACUUUCAGCGGGGAGGCGUUACCCGCAGAAGAAGCACCGGCUAACUCCGUGCCAGCCGCCGCGGUAAUUC